AUGGACGAAAGUCUGAUGGAGCACGCCGCGUGAGUGAAGAAGGGUUUCGGCUCGUAAAACUCUGUUGUUAAAGAAGAACAUAUCUGAGAGUAACUGUUCAGGUAUUGACGGUAUUUAACCAGAAAGCCACGGCUAACUACGUGCCAGCAGCCGCGGUAAUACGUAGGUGGCAAGCGUUGUCCGGAUUUAUUGGGCGUAAAGCGAGCGCAGGCGGUUUUUUAAGUCUGAUGUGAAAGCCUUCGGCUUAACCGAAGAAGUGCAUCGGAAACUGGGAAACUUGAGUGCAGAAGAGGACAGUGGAACUCCAUGUGUAGCGGUGAAAUGCGUAGAUAUAUGGAAGAACACCAGUGGCGAAGGCGGCUGUCUGGUCUGUAACUGACGCUGAGGCUCGAAAGUAUGGGUAGCAAACAGGAUUAGAUACCCUGGUAGUCCAUACCGUAAACGAUGAAUGCUAAGUGUUGGAGGGUUUCCGCCCUUCAGUGCUGCAGCUAACGCAUUAAGCAUUCCGCCUGGGGAGUACGGCCGCAAGGCUGAAACUCAAAGGAAUUGACGGGGGCCCGCACAAGCGGUGGAGCAUGUGGUUUAAUUC
rnacentral:rRNA from 2 species